UAGUAAUGUGGAGUCAGGCUGUAUACAAGCUGAAAUUAGGGUAUUUUAGUAGGUAGACCUGUGUCACUCGAUGCAGCACAGGUCUAAAUUAGUAGUUGUUCUGUAUUUAGUGAGUAGUCUGGAAAUCAUUCGAAGGAAAUGGGGAAAAUGAUCAUUUCUCUAGUUUAACCUGCGCAACCUUGAUGUUAUGAGACCUCCACAAGAUAUUUAUAGUAGGAUGCAGGUUAUUAAUGACUGUUGCAUUGAUUGCGAGUUUUCAUUUCAGAGGAUAUCCAGUCAGUUAAAAGUGACUUAAGCUUUGGAUGCAUUCCGUUUCUAUUGCUAUGUAUGCCAAUGAUGGAGCAGUAGAUAGUGCCUGGCACCAGUAGCUGGCACCCUCCUCCCAGAGACUAAGAAAUAUUCAUGAGACGGUCGAGGAGGAGCAGAGGAAAGGCACCAGAGUCAACAGCAGCAAGUUUUUGUAGGGAGCCGUUCGAGAGACAGCUCAGAAACGUUAGUAGAAACUGCCAAACUCCUAGUUUCAUUACUUGCACUGGACACAGUCUUUUUAAUAUCAGUCAAGUGUUGCAACAGCCUAAGCACCUCUUCUUCUGGACACAGGAACACGAAAGGAACAAAACUGCCCCAUUGCCUGCGCUGCCACAAGCGCGCCUCCAGCUGGCCAGGGGAACGGAUCAGAGCCACUUGGACGCUCCAGAGGGGAUCCAUACAAGUACCAAGCCCAGAGCCAGACCAGCGUCGGGCAGGUCUCCACCCCCAUCCCUACCACUGUGGCUGCUGUGUCUUUUUUUCCAGGAACCUCUAUGGACAUCUGUUCUUCUGCAACUGUUAUUACAGCUGGUGGAACAGACUGUCUGACAAUAUACAAUUGCACUGUACUGGGACAGACUGGUAUGAGGAGACUGAGCACACCUUUAUGUCACUGAAGGUCUUCAUGAUAAAGUACUUGAAAGGAGUUGUGGGCUAUGUGACACAGGAUAAUGGAAGAUUUGUCUAGAAAGUGAAUAAUACAGCUUGCCUGAUUCCUGAUUUCUCAUCUGUGGUAUUUCAAAAUCAAGACUAAAGGGAAAAGCCAAAAUAAAGAAAGAAAACUGAACUAAUUAGAAAAGGACUGCU